GAUGAAGAACGCAGCGAAAUGCGAUACGUAAUGUGAAUUGCAGAAUUCAGUGAAUCAUCGAGUCUUUGAACGCACAUUGCGCCCCCUGGUAUUCCGGGGGGCAUGCCUGUCCGAGCGUCAUUGCUGCCCUCAAGCACGGCUUGUGUGUUGGGCCUCCGUCCUCCUCCCGGGGGACGGGCCCGAAAGGCAGCGGCGGCACCGCGUCCGGUCCUCGAGCAUAUGGGGCUUCGUCACCCGCUCUUGUAGGCCCGGCCGGCGCUUGCCGACACAUCAAUCUUUUUUCCAGGUUGACCUCGGAUCAGGUAGGGAUACCCGCUGAACUUAAGCAUAUCAAUAAGCGGAGGA
rnacentral:misc_RNA from 1 species